GUGCUCGCUUCGGCAGCACAUAUACUGAAAUUGGAACGAUACAGAGGAGAUUAGCAUGGCCCCUGCGCAAGGAAUGACAUUAUAUUUUUAAGACUUCUUUGUUUCAUCU
rnacentral:snRNA from 1 species